rnacentral:rRNA from 1 species
UACGAAGGGUGCAAGCGUUAAUCGGAAUUACUGGGCGUAAAGCGUGCGUAGGCGGUUCUUAAGUCUGCUGUGAAAUCCCCGGGCUCAACCUGGGAAUGGCAGUGGAUACUGGGGAGCUAGAGUGUGAUAGAGGAUGGUGGAAUUCCCGGUGUAGCGGUGAAAUGCGUAGAGAUCGGGAGGAACAUCAGUGGCGAAGGCGGCCAUCUGGAUCAACACUGACGCUGAGGCACGAAAGCGUGGGGAGCAAACAGGG